rnacentral:rRNA from 1 species
GGAAUCCUCGGUGCAGGGUGGGGUGGAAUUCGGGGGGUGGGUGCGUGGUGCGGAAUGACGUGGCUUAAAGGGCGCUGAGGCGGUUCGGUAAGUUGCUGGUGGAAUGCCUGGGCUCAAGUCCGGGUGUGCCGGCACGAUGGCCGGACUUGAGCACGGUAGGGGCAGAUGGAAUGCCCGGUGUAGCGGUGGAAUGCGUAGAGAUCGGGAAGAAUACCAGUGGCGAAGGCGUUCUGCUGGGCCGUUGCUGACGCUGAGGCGCGACAGCGUGGGGAGCAAACAGGAUUAGAUACCCCAGUAGUC